ACACUUUCUUAAAUGUAGACUCUGCUAAGCCAAAGAAGUGGAUUACUUCUGAAGACAGAUAUCCCCUAGGGGAACAGCUUGCCUCUGGUUCUAAAUGCUAUAAAGUCUCCUUAGUUCAAGCUCCACAUAGUUUAAAUUCCGGAGGGAGGAGUCUGAGGUUUGCUUUGCAAACCCUUUCUUCAUAGAUGGUGAAAAUUAAUGCUAUAAAUAAGACUCUGGUAGCGUCUGGGAUAUGUGUGAUUUAUAACACAACUAUAUCCCAGGCAUCUAAGAAGUAUCAUUAAGAUAUUUAGUUAAAUUAAACACUAAUUUAUUAUUCAGACUGCUAGGUUCUAAGAGGAAAAUGGAAAAAUUGUGCAUUCUGGUAUGGGUUAUUGAAAUUGCCAAUCUGGCUCAUUUUGAAGAUCUCUCUCAACCACAGUUGAGUGAAUGAACCAAUGAACAAAGAAAUAUCAUUGCCUGAUUUGAGUUAUUAUAUGUAUCUCAAUAAAUUAAAUAAAAUUUCUUUUAUGCCCCAAAUAUUUCCAUCAUGGUGAUUUCUAAAGAAUUGCAUUUGGUUCAGGGCAGUUGUAUGAUAAUCUUUUGCUAUUCAAGCAACUUUGAUUGAGUGCAUGACUGUGAGCCAAGUAAAUUUAUUAGCUUGUUUCAUUGAACUGCAUUUGUACAAUGAGACAAAUUGUUUCAGCCAGGUUUCAAAGUGCUUCUCAUCCACUGAGAAGUGACUUGGGCAAUAAAGCCACAGUAAUCAGAUCUUCCUGAACACUUAGUAAUUGUACAUGGAAAACUAUAUACUGAUAAUAGCACUUACUAAAUAGUAUAGAGACGUUUUCAAUGCUAAUAAAACAUAUGGUAUUAAAUAGAUCAUUUGAAAUGUGCAUGUACCCUUUCUAGAUAUAUCUGCUGGCUGGUUUUAAUGUGCAUGUGUGUGAUAGACCCUAGAUUUUCACCUAAGAUUUUUGUCAAGAUUUUUGUUGGUUUGAACUAUGCCCUUACUCUGAAAUCCAGAACACAUUUUCCAAAGUCUUAAUAAAUUCUACUCAAAGCAACAUUGCCAUCCACGGUUAGUCAGACAUCUCAGCAAUGACCCUCUGCGAGGAGAUCUAAAACACUGACGGUAGAGUUUUAUUGUUGUUGUAGGAAAAGAAAAUAAUGGAUAUCCUUCAUUCAGUGUUCCUUUUCUGCGUAUGAAAUUCAAUAAGUAAUGUCAGAAAGAGGUGCUUUUAUGGACCGGCCUGAAAUAGUGUCCGUAUUCCCCAUGGCCUGUAUCAUGGCCACUGAAGAGUUGGAGUUCCUCCCGAGUCCUCUUCCAACUCUACGUCAAUGGCUAUCAGCAGAAAUAGAGCUAGAGCAAGCUGGUGCAAGAUGAGACCAGUUCUGGAGAUCAGAAAUCUGAGUCAGUUUCAUUGGGCUAAAGUCAAGAUGCCAGCAGACCUGGUUCCUCCUGGAGGCUGUGAGUGGACAAUUCAUUUCCUUGCCUUUUCCAGCUUCUAGAGGCUGCCAGCAUUCUAAUCUCUGCUUUUGUCACAUUGCCUUCUCUUUGGUAUGGUAUCUCCCCCUAUUUUUCUCUUAUGAGGACACUUGUGAUUACAUCCUUGGGCUUACCUGGAUAAUGCAGGCUACUCUCCCCAUCUCAAGAUCCUUAAUCACAUCUGCAAAGUCCCUUUUAUGAUAUAAUGUAACAUAUUCCUAGGUUUGGGGGAUUAAAAUAUGCACAUCUUGAGAGGCCAUUAUUCAGCCAACCAAAGGCAAACAUUAUACACAACGUGAGCAGGUAAAAUAGUCUGGGGAAAAUUAUAGGAAAAAUCACCCUGAAAAUUUUAUGAAAAGUGAUAACAAUGUUUAAAGACAUAUGAGCGGUAUAAGCCUUGCAAAAUUUCUAAUACUGCCUAAAAUAGGGAUCAGUGGUGUCCAUUUUAACCAAGACAUUUCAACCAGUUUGAGGUCUUGACCAGCCUGUUUCCCACAAAUUCCCCAAAGUCCAUCAUGUGAAGACAAAAUAAGGUAGAUUGUGGGGGGUUGUGCAUCUCACAUAUGAGUCUCAGAGGAAGUGAAAACUAAGCAGAGAUAUGCAGGAAAAGAAGUGGAUCAGGUGAUGUGGUCUCAGGAAGAAAAGUCCUGACAUGGCGAAUGUGGUGCAUAUGUGAGUGAGAAAAGACCUGGAGAUGGGAGAGGGUCCUGUGUUUCAGGAAUUGAUGGCAGGAUUAUGUGGCUAGUAGUAUAUUUUGAGUCGGCAGUGGGAGGAGGAUGCUGUAAAAGAGGAAGCUGGUUAGUUAACUACGAGCUGGAUCAAGAUGGGCCUGUUGUGUAUGGAUUUUAUCUUAAGGCAACUGCAGAGCCCUUGAAAAUGACCUGGAUCUUCUAUUACAUGAACUUAAUAUUGCUAAUAUGGCAACACUCCCCACACUGAUCCAUAUUAGCCUCGCUCUCUUUUUAAGUUAGCUCUAUGCCCAACGUGGGGCCUGAACUCAUGAUCUUGAGAUCAAGAGUUAUAUACUCUACCAACUGAGCCAGCCAGGCACCCUUCCACAUUGAUCUAUCGACUUAACACAAUCCCUAUCAAGAUUCCUCCUUUUUUUUUUUUCCUAAAAAUUAACGAGCUGAUGAUUCUAAAAUGAAAUGGAAAGGGCUCAGAACUGUUAAAACAAUCUUGAAAAAGAACAAAAAGUUUGGAGGACUUAAAGUUCCUGAUUUUAGAACUUAUGUCAAAACUAGAGUAAUGAAAUCGCACAACAGUGGCAUCAGGAUAGCUAGACAUAGAGACCAAUGGAAUAAAAGUCCUUGCAUUCACAGUCAAUUGAGUUUUGACAAGGGAGCCAAGAUAAUUCAAUGGGGAAGUAAAUAACCUAAUGGUGUUGGGAUAGUUGGUUAUUUAAAAUUUAAACAAUGACAGCAUGAACUUAGGCCUGACUGUAUAUCAUACAUAAAAGUCAACCCAAAAUGUGUCGUAAACCUAAAUUUAAGAGUUAAAAUUUGAAAAUAUCUAGAAGAAAAUGUAUAGUUUUCUUUGAGUCAUUAGCUAUUAGGGACACACAAAUCAAAACCACAAUGAGAUACCACUUCAUAUCCACGUUAUAACACCCAUUAGUGGCUAUGAUAAAAGAAGGCUAAUAGUAACAAGUAGUGGCAAAGAUGUGAUGUUGGGACUGUCAUACAUUGCUGCGGGCAUGGUUCAGGCACUUUAGAAAAGAGUGUGGCACUUUCUCAAAAUGUUAAACAUACAGUUUAACCAUAUGACUCAGCAAUUCCACUUAGGUAUCUACCCAAGAGAAUUAAAAACAUAUGUCCACACAAAGCCUAGUACAGCAAUGUUUCCAGCAGCAUUGUCCAUAGCAGCCAAAGAGUGGAAAGACCCCAAAUGUCUAUCAAUUGAUGAAUGGAUAAAUAAGAUGUGGUGUAUCGAUACAAUGGAAUGUUAUGAGUAAUAAAAAGGAAAUAAUAAAAAGAGUAAGUACUGAUACAUGCUAAAAAUGGAUGAACCUUGAAAACAUGCUAUAUGAAAGAACCCAGUAAGAAUGAUCACAUAGUGCAUGAUUCCAUUUAUAUAAAUAUCCAGAGUAGGGAAACCUUUAGCAGUAGAAACAUAGAUCAGUGAUUGGUUAUAUUAGGUUUGAGAGUAGAGGUUGGGCAAAGUGGGGAAUAAUUGCUAAUGGUUAUGGGCUUCUUUUUGGGGUGAUGAAAAUGGUCUAAAAUUAGACUGUGGUGAUGGUUGCACAAAUCUGUAAAUAUGCUAAAAACUUGAAUUGCACACUCUAAGUAGGUGUAUUUUAUGGUAUGUAAAUUAUAUCUAAAUAAAGAUAUAUAUACUUUUUAAGAACAUACUGGGGAUUGACAUAGUCAAUUUCCAUCAGUGUGGGAAUGGAUUAGAAGGAGGACAGGAUUGGAGGCAGGCAGGCAUGUUAAAAUUUUCAGGUGCGAGUUACAGCUGGCCAUGCUGUUUUAAUUUCAUUUUAUUAAAAAUAGAUGCUUAUUCUCUAGAAGACUGUGAUUAUAACAGUUUCCCAGCUCUAGUCAAUUGCUUACCGUCAUCACAUAAUCUUUGUGAUAGCCACAGCACACCGUAGCUAUGUCACAUGUGAUGCAUCCAAGGAGAAAGGAUGCUUUAGGUUUUGUAUGGUAAGAGUUUGCUGCUUAGCGAGUCAGCUGAUUUCGAGGCAGGGGAUUAAUCAGGCUGUCAAAUUGUUUCCCUGGAAAUAGAUGCAGCAGAAGAGAUAGUAACCUGUGGCUUUCUCAAUUCAGCAAGGCAGCUGUUUAAAAUUUUUUAUGCCUGCAGUAUCUGAGUGUCUCUCUCCUUGACUAUAAUUGAGGGCUUUCUUUAUUUAGAUGUACAGGAGGCUCUCUGUAACAAGUACUUAGUAUUGGCAUAUUUAAAAAAAAAUCCCGAAGCCUGCUUUUUAUGUACCCCAAGGCCACUCAUCGAUAACUAGCACUUCACAUAAUAAUACACUUAUGAAAACUAAUUUAUUUUUAGUCUUCCUUUCUUCUCAUGAUAAAAAUACAGGCAAACCAUAAUUUCCUAAUGUCACAAAAUUCAAUACAAGUAGUAAUUUUUUAACUGUAUUUUUUUACAUUAAAAAACACUAGUAUAUAUUUCACAAAGCAAAAACAGCAAUUUAAACAAAUAGUGUUCAUUUCUUGACUGUUCAGAAGGACAACUCUGGAUGAGAUAUAAGAAAAUGAAGUAGGAUUCAUUCAUCAUGAAUAUCCAUUCAUCUGAAGGUAUGGCAUGGAUAUUACCUAGGAUUCUAAAUGAUUAUAAAGCUAAGGGAAAGGCAGAGAGGAAUAUAAAAGCCAAAUAUUAUCUGACAAACUGUAUCUGACCAAGUGCCUGUAAUCCAGCUGUGAGUUCACUGAUUGUUAUAAUGCUUGGGCUUUUCAGAGGCACGCAGAAGUGUCAUCUGCAGUUGGUUUGGAAUUUGAGCUUUUCCUGUAAAUCUCAUAACAACCUUUAAAUACUCUUUUAGCCUUUUUAAUAAGAUAGUUCUCAUAAACUUUAGAGGCUCAGGUGUUUUCCUUUGCUUGAAGCCAGAGACAAGUCUGGACAGAAUGUGUUAUUAUUCCUGGAAGGCAGCCUGACCUUCACCAGUGCCCUUGGAGAACAGCUAGAAUCAAGCAAGUCCAGGGGUGGGUGGUAAAAACAUACAGAUUUAGAUUUAGGAGUCUGGGUGUGGACACAUGGCCAUUUGCACAAACAUUCAUCUGGUGUCUUUUGCUUUGAUGGAGAGUUCUUGAAAUUAGAGUCCUAUGGAAAUGGUACUUAGGUUCAAAGUAUUAUUGAAGGAACAAUCUCAUCUUGACAGUUAACAAAACAACUUGCUACUUCUUGCUCUGGCAUAUUGUUAAGCUCUCAUUGAAUAUGAGCCUUGGAAAGACUCACCCAGAACUAGAACAUCACUGACUCCUUACAACUCAUGGACUCUGAAAAACACCAUUGAGUCUAAAGCCCCCCUGUUUUAGGAUGAGGCUGGUAGUCCGAAGAGAUGAAGGGAGGGCUGGAUAGUGAAGAAGCUGGAUCUAGGACCCACCCUGUUGGACUUGGUCUGUGUCCUCCCUACCACAAGGGCUUUGCUAUCUGCAUGUCAUCAUGUACUAGCUGUGAGAACUCACGUUUCUCCAUUUGUAAAAUGAACAAAAGAAAGCCAGUCAAGUAGGAUGUUAUAAGGAAAAAAUGAGGUGUUGAGCAUCCAUCGCUGCAUUUAAUAAAAAACCUCUGUGCCAGAGCACUGAUGUUGUUUUCCUAGUCUUUGCCUCAUCUUUGAUGAAUUCUACUGCAUUUGGAGAAUGUAGUCAUUGUGGCCCUGGUAAAAUAUACUAUCACCCUGGGAAUUAUAAAAACAUUGGAGACCAGAUGCUGCUGCACAAAUGAGAAGCCUCAUCAACAUUAAAUCUUGUUCCUGACCUAGAGGAAGAAUAAUGUAUGUGGAAACAAUCUGCAAAAUGUAACAUGCUAUAAAAAUGCUAGUUUUUGUUAUUAAUGCAAAUUAAUCUAUUUUAGUGAUUUUUUUUGUUUUUUUUUUUAGCGGUCCCUAGCACAGCUUUUGCCCAGAGGAUUAAGA